UUACAGUCUGCGUGAGUGAUGGAAGCGACAUCCUUUAUUUUCUUUCUUUAAGAAAAUAAAGAUAUAGCGUACAGCACGACCUAAA
rnacentral:sRNA from 1 species